AUGGGGGUACACGUGUCUGUGUCCUGCUUUCAGUUCUUGUGGUUACACGCCCAGGAGUGGGAUUGCUGGAUCCUGUGGUUAUUCUGUUUGGCUUUCCAAGGCACACUGAUAAGCGUCUCCUUCGUGCAGCAUUUUGCUCAGGUCAAGGCUGGGCCUGGAGGUCCUGGGCACUGGCUCUUGCAUAGUCUCCUUUCUGUCCCUGAUGGGAGGCGCAGAAGAAGAGCUAAGGAUUCCUCUGAGUGGUGCUGGCCGAGGGGAAAGGGACCUUCCCCUGGCCCCCCAGGGGCUCUGCUUACGCCCAGCUCACCUGUGUCCGUGGUCCCUGCCACCUCACUCUGCUCCUCUGUCCGGCCCCAGGACGGCUCUGUUCUAAACACAUCCCCACCGCUGCCAGAGGAGCCCAGCCGAGCCCCACCGGACGACAGGAAGGACCUCCCGUGGGGGGCCCAGUUUGAGCUGCCACCCAUGCUGCUGGACACGGACAGGGAUGGUUACACGUCAUCAAAAGCCACGCCAUCGAAAACACCGGGAACGCAAGACUCCCUCCUCCCCCCGCCCUCCCUCCGCAUCCUGCUGACGCCUCCGGCUCGCGAGGUUGGUGUGUGCGGCGCGAACCUCAUCCAGGCCCCGUCAGAGCUGCUCUGGGCCAGGGGCGAGCACAGAGAAGCUUCUGGAAGGUGGUCUCUCCAUCAGCAGCCGUCACAACGGUGCUGACCAUGUAUUGAGGCCACUAGUGUCACCGUGCUAGUGUCCAGGGGCGGCCACUAGUGUCACCGUGCUAGUGUCCAGGGGCAGCCAGAUGAAAGCACUGCAGACCAGGCGGCGUAAAGCACAGACGUCCAUUCUCUGCCCACAGUGGAGCCGGGAGCCCAAGGUCAGCUGUCCCCGGGCCGUGCUCCCUCCAAAGGCUCGGGCGCGCCCCUGCGGCCUCUCCCAGCCCCCGCAGUCCCGGCUCCUUAGCUGGUGGCCACAUCGCUGCCUCCUCCCUGCAUGGCUGUUUCUCUUCUAAGGACACCCACUAUCGGAUAGAGGGCCCACCCUCAACCCAGAGGUCCCACUCGGAGGUCCCUGGGGGACACAGAUUGGGGGCCACCCAUUCUCUCCGCAGGGGCUGGGAGUGGUCGCUCCCCUCAACUACAAGCAAGAGAUGAGACUCAGACGUUGAGGGGGUCCCUGUGGGACCCUGCAGCUGGAUCCGGGUCCCGAGGGGGCCUCAGGUGGCCCAGGGACCUCCGUCCACGGCUGCCUUUCCCCACAGAAGUCGAGCUCCGUGAGCGGGAAGAGUCUGGUCUCCAAGCUGCGCUCCCCGGGUGGCCAGGAGCCGGGCUACCCUGCCCCGAGGACGGCGCAGGCCGGGCUGAGCGCCCAGGCGCUCCGGGAGAUGGCCGUGAGCACCCAGAGCAUCACCCGCAUCGCGGCCACGCGGCGCGCCAAGGCGCAGGACUGCGACGGCGGCAGCGGCCGCUCUUCCCGCCACCCCGCAGAGGCGGCGGCCCCGGGCUCCAGGGAC
rnacentral:lncRNA from 1 species